AACGCGGGAUAUUUGUAUAAUAAGAGAAACUUUUGUGCUUGCCGCCGUUGAGAUCUAAAAAGCUUCUUAAUUUGUAGCUGCAAUGGAAGGAGAAGAAGGUAACACAAGAAACACCAAAGAAGCUCUGAGCACUGAAGGAGGCCAUAUAAAGGGUGACCAAGAUCGUCAAUAUGCCCUCCCAUCUGCUCAUACAAUUGGCCACGAUUCAUGGCAACAAGUUGGGGUGAUGCUGGUGACAGCCUUCAACUGUGGAUAUAUAUUGAGCUUUUCAAAUCUUAUGUUGGUGCCUUUGGGAUGGACAUGGGGGAUCAUAUGCCUUCUGGUUUUUGGGCUCUACAGUGCCUAUGCAAUCCGGCUUUUGGCUGCUUUUCACUUCAUCGAUGGCCAAAGGUUCAUCAGAUACAGAGAUCUCAUGGGUUUUUUAUUUGGCAGAGAGAUGUUUUACACCACUUGGGUUUUCCAGUUUUUGACCCUUCUACUUGGAAACAUGGGUUUCAUUCUACUUGGGGGAAGAGCACUUAAGGAAAUUAACUCCGAAUUCAGCGACUCACCAUUUCGGCUUCAGUAUUUUAUCGCCAUCACCGGAGUGACCUACUUUGUAUUUGCAUUCUUCAUUCCAACAAUGUCUGCAAUGAGAAGUUGGCUCGGACCAUCUACCGUUAUCACCUUCGCUUACAUUGUCAUGCUCUUGGUGGUGGUGGUUAAAGAUGGGAAAGCUAACACCAAGAGAGAUUAUGCGAUCCAUGGAAACGAAGCAGACAGAGUACUCAAUGCCUUUGGUGCAAUUGCAGCUAUUAUCGUAUGCAACUCCUCUGGCUUGCUACUCGAAAUACAGUCAACUCUAAGAGAUCCUGCAGUAACAAAUAUGAGGAAAGCUUUAAAUCUGCAGUUUACUGUGGGGCUGGUGCUUUACUAUGGAGUGAGCAUAGUCGGAUACUGGGCUUAUGGCUCAACUGUAUCCGAAUACCUUCCUCAAGAGCUAAGCGGUCCUAAAUCGGUUAAGGUUCUCAUAAACGCCACUGUUUUUCUACAAUCCGUGGUCUCCCAACAUAUGUUUGUGGCACCAAUCCACGAGUUCCUUGAUACCAAGUUCCUCAAACUCGAUAAGAGCAUGAACUCGAAAGGAAAUUUGAAGCGCAGAUUGUACGUUCGAGCCCUCCUCUUUGCAGUAAAUACAUUUGUAACAGCAGCUUUUCCUUUCAUGGGGGACUUCGUAAACUUGUUUGGAUCCUUUACACUCGUUCCUCUAACUUUCGUGUUCCCGAGCAUGAUUUUCAUCAAGGUGAAGGGAAAGGCAGCUUCACCGGAGAAGAUUUUAUGGCAUUGGUUCAACAUCGUUAUUUUUUCGCUCCUUGCCGUCGUCACCACAAUUUCUGCCGUUCGAUUGAUAGUCAACAAUGUUAAGGAAUACAAUUUCUUUGCAAAUACAUGAAGUACAUGUAAAAGUUAUGACCCGAGCCAGUUAACCAGAUACAUUUAGCACAUCCAUCACAACCAUAUAGCCCAUAUCUAGUCUUGGGUAGCCAUUACAAAGAGCACGGUCAAACACAAUGUGACUACGUGACAUUUCUGUCUUCCAUGCUUGCAUUGUCUUUGCACGUGUGGAUCUGGACGGGGGUCUCCGGUAUACAUACUGCAGUAAUACGUAGACAUCCCUUAUAAUCCAAGUGUCUUUAUCUGCGUAUUGUAGUUUAGAAGCUUGUGCUUACCUUGCCUUUGAGAUCUAACGUUUGAAGCGAAGUUUCUGCCUGCUAGCGCUCUUCUUCAUAGCGAAUACAUUCGUGACAGCAGCUAUUCCUUUCAUAGGGGACUUUAUGAACUUGUUUGGAUCGCUUUCACUCGUUCCUCUUAACUUUCUUGUUCCCAAGCAUGGCUUUCAUCAAGUUUUAACACCAACUACUGCACUUCGCUUGAUAGUCAACAAUGUUCAGCAAUAUAAUUUUUUGCAAAUAAUGAAGGCAAGUAAAUUAUUGCAGAUGGUAUAUGCCUUUCAAACGAUAUAGUAGACAAACAUAGGAUGAUUUUAUUGCGGCAUGUUCCUUUUUCCAAAAUAUAUUGUGCAAGUAACUACAUUCC